rnacentral:rRNA from 1 species
GACAGAGGGGGCAAGCGUUGCUCGGAAUUACUGGGCGUAAAGGGCGCGUAGGCGGGAUGGCAAGUCGGUCGUGAAAGCCUUCGGCUCAACCGAAGAACGUCGGCCGAUACUGCCGUUCUUGAGGGAUGCAGAGGAGACUGGAAUUCAUGGUGUAGCAGUGAAAUGCGUAGAGAUCAUGAGGAAGACCAGUGGCGAAGGCGGGUCUCUGGACAGUUCCUGACACUGAGGCACGAAGGCCAGGGGAGCAAACGGG